rnacentral:tRNA from 1 species
GGGGUUGUAGCUCAGUGGUAGAGUGCUUGCCUAGCACACAUGAGGUUCUGGGUUCAAUCCUCAGCACCACA